rnacentral:rRNA from 1 species
GACGAACGCUGGCGGCGUGCCUAAUACAUGCAAGUAGAACGCUGAAGAGAGGAGCUUGCUCUUAUUGGAUGAGUUGCGAACGGGUGAGUAACGCGUAGGUAACCUGCCUUGUAGCGGGGGAUAACUAUUGGAAACGAUAGCUAAUACCGCAUAACAAUGGAUGACACAUGUCAUUUAUUUGAAAGGGGCAAUUGCUCCACUACAAGAUGGACCUGCGUUGUAUUAGCUAGUAGGUGAGGUAAUGGCUCACCUAGGCGACGAUACAUAGCCGACCUGAGAGGGUGAUCGGCCACACUGGGACUGAGACACGGCCCAGACUCCUACGGGAGGCAGCAGUAGGGAAUCUUCGGCAAUGGGGGCAACCCUGACCGAGCAACGCCGCGUGAGUGAAGAAGGUUUUCGGAUCGUAAAGUUCUGUUGUAAGUCAAGAACGGGUGUGAGAGUGGAAAGUUCAAACUGUGACGGUAGCUUACCAGAAAGGGACGGCUAACUACGUG